ACGCUCGACACCUACGGGAGGCAGCAGUGGGGAAUAUUGGGCAAUGGGCGAAAGCCUGACCCAGCAACGCCGCGUGAGGGAAGAAGGUUUUCGGAUUGUAAACCUCUGUCCUCAGGGACGAAGGACGUGACGGUACCUGAGGAGGAAGCCCCGGCUAACUACGUGUCAGCAGCCGCGGUAAUCUGAGCGGCUGGCAAGGC
rnacentral:rRNA from 1 species